AAGAGUUGUAGUUGGACUGGGCCGCCUCCGGCACCGACCAGGCAAGAGAAAAAUAAAAAGCAGGGUAGAAACCCCAUUGCUUGGCCGUUCCGAUCCCCUCUCCUCUCGUCCCCCGACUCCGCGCCGCCGGCGAGGGUUUGGCUCGCGCCCGGCCACCCCCACGGCCGCCGCCGCUCCUCCUCUCCCCAAGCAGCGCUUACCCUCGGCGACGGGCGCGCGAGUGCCGAGCCCCCUGCCGCCGCCAGAUCCGCCGUCUUCGAGCUCAGGUAAGGCCCCGCCCAUUCUCCGGCCCUCGAAUACUCCGCCGCAAUUCGGUAGUGGGAUUUGUAGAGUGUUGAUCGCUUUCCUUACCGUCGUCCUCCGGCGCCGUAUCGAUCUGCAGCGACGUGCUCCGGCGCGCAACCCGCGGGGACGCCGGAGAUGAGCUACAGUGGGAGCGGCGGGGGGAAGCGCCUUCGCACGUCGCCGAGCGAGGCGGAGGGUAGCCCCAGGCGCCGUCGUGGGUCGCCGUCGGUCUACUCUCCGUCGCCGUCGCCCUACCGGUCACCCUCGCCGCUGCCGUCGCCGUCGACCUACAGGUCGCUCUCGCACUCGCCGUCGCCCUGCCGCUCGUGGUCGCACAGGCCGCCCAGCGACGACGACGCCGACGAUCUGAGCCGCAGCCGCGGGUCGNNN
rnacentral:lncRNA from 1 species